GAUUAAAGGCGUGCGCCACCACUGCCACCCAGCCCAAUGACAGAAUCUUUAAAGAAACAGGUAGGAGAGUACACAGAACCCCUCCCCGCUGGAUAAUAAGAAGAGAUGGAGGAAGAGGACUCCCCACCAUGGUCGACUGUGAGCCAGAACAAACGCUUCUCUACUUUGCUCUUACUGCAAAAAUGUUCCUGAGACUUUCUGUGUUGUCACACCCAAGGAGACAGAGGACACAGUCUGUUCACACCUGCAGCAGACCUCCCAAAUCAGAGAGACCAAAUGACAGGGACCUUCAGUCAGGCUUAUUCCUGAAGACUCAAGUGUUGUCUCAGUCCCGGGCUGAGUAUAAUAGCUAUAUACUGCAGAACACACAGCGCUCUGUAGCACCAAAGCCAGCCUCCACCUCUGCCCAUCAGCUUCAUAUGACAAACCUGCGCCUCUAUCAUCACCUCGG